rnacentral:rRNA from 1 species
UACGUAGGGUGCAAGCGUUGUCCGGAAUUAUUGGGCGUAAAGAGCUCGUAGGCGGUUUGUCGCGUCUGCUGUGAAAACCCGAGGCUCAACCUCGGGCCUGCAGUGGGUACGGGCAGACUAGAGUGCGGUAGGGGAGACUGGAAUUCCUGGUGUAGCGGUGAAAUGCGCAGAUAUCAGGAGGAACACCGGUGGCGAAGGCGGGUCUCUGGGCCGUAACUGACGCUGAGGAGCGAAAGCGUGGGGAGCAAACAGG